rnacentral:rRNA from 1 species
CGAACGUUAGCGGCGGGCCUAACACAUGCAAGUCGAACGCGAAAGGUCUUCGGACUGAGUAGAGUGGCGCACGGUGAGUAACACGUAGGUAAUCUACCCUUUGGCGGGGAUAACGUUCCGAAAGGAGCGCUAAUACCGCAUAAGACCACGGAGUCUCCGGACGCUGUGGGAAAAGGUGGCCUCUUCUUGAAAGCUACCACCGAAGGAUGAGCCUGCGUCCCAUCAGCUAGUUGGUAAGGUAAUGGCUUACCAAGGCGAAGACGGGUAGCUGGUUUGAGAGAAUGAUCAGCCACACUGGCACUGGAACACGGGCCAGACUCCUACGGGAGGCAGCAGUGAGGAAUAUUGGGCAAUGGGCGAAAGCCUGACCCAGCCACGCCGCGUGAGUGAUGAAGGCCCUCGGGUCGUAAAGCUCUGUGGAGAGGGACGAAAACCCUGGUUUCAAAUAGGCUCCAGGCUUGACGGUACCUCUUUAGCAAGCACCGGCUAACUCUGUG